AGGACGAACGCUGGCGGCGUGCUUAACACAUGCAAGUCGAACGGAGUUCCUUGGAUAGAGGCUUCGGCCAAUUGAAAUGGAACUUAGUGGCGGACUGGUGAGUAACGCGUGAGGAACCUGCCUUUCAGAGGGGGACAACAGUUGGAAACGACUGCUAAUACCGCAUAACACAUUCGAACGGCAUCGUUUGAAUGUCAAAGAUUUUAUCGCUGAAAGAUGGCCUCGCGUCUGAUUAGCUAGUUGGUAGGGUAACGGCCUACCAAGGCGACGAUCAGUAGCCGGACUGAGAGGUUGACCGGCCACAUUGGGACUGAGAUACGGCCCAGACUCCUACGGGAGGCAGCAGUGGGGAAUAUUGGGCAAUGGACGCAAGUCUGACCCAGCAACGCCGCGUGAAGGAAGAAGGCUUUCGGGUUGUAAACUUCUUUUGUCAGGGAAGAGAAGAAGACGGUACCUGACGAAUAAGCCACGGCUAACUACGUG
rnacentral:rRNA from 1 species